GGUCAAGUUAUUAAGGGUGCAGGGCGGAUGCCUUGGCACUAGGAGCCGAUGAAGGACGUGAUAAGCUGCGAUAAGCUUCGGGGAGUUGCACGUAAACUUUGAUCCGAAGAUUUCCGAAUGAGGAAACUCACUUAGAGUAAUGUCUAAGUAUCAUUAAGUGAAUACAUAGCUUAAUGAGGGGAACUCAGGGAACUGAAACAUCUAAGUACCUGAAGGAAGAGAAAGAAAUUCGAUUCCGUAAGUAGCGGCGAGCGAACGCGGAUUAGCCCAAACCAAUAAAGUUUUCUUUAUUGGGGUUGCGGACAUAUCAUAACGAAGAGGUAUCGUAAUUGAAGAGGUUUGGAAAGACCCACCACAGAAGGUAAUAGUCCUGUAUGUUAAACGAGAAGACUUUAGAUAUGAUCCAGAGUACCACGGGACACGUGAAACCCUGUGGGAAGCAGGAGGGACCACCCUCCAAGGCUAAAUACUACCUAGUGACCGAUAGCGUAUAGUACCGUGAGGGAAAGGUGAAAAGAACCCCGGGAGGGGAGUGAAAUAGAACCUGAAACCCUGCACUUACAAGCUGUGGAAGCACAUUUCUUGUGUGACCGCGUACUUUUUGUAGAACGGGCCAACGAGUUACGUUAAGUAGCAAGGUUAAGCACUUAAGGUGCGGAGCCGUAGCGAAAGCGAGUUUUAACUGAGCGUUCAGUUACUUGACGUAGACCCGAAACCGGGCGACCUACCCAUGAGCAGGAUGAAGCGAAAGUAAAAUUUCGUGGAGGUCCGAACCCACGAGCGUUGAAAAGCUCGGGGAUGACUUGUGGGUAGCGGUGAAAUUCCAAUCGAGCCCGGAGAUAGCUGGUUCUCCCCGAAAUAGCUUUAGGGCUAGCCUCAAGGUGAGAGAUACGGAGGUAGAGCACUGAAUGUCCUAGGGGGUAUUGCACCUACCGAAGACUAUCAAACUCCGAAUGCCGUCAUCUUAUACUUGGGAGUCAGACUGUGGGUGAUAAGAUUCAUAGUCGAAAGGGCAACAGCCCAGAUCGUCAGCUAAGGUCCCUAAAUGUAAGUUAAGUGGUAAAGGAUGUGGGAUUGCACAGACAACCAGGAUGUUGGCUUAGAAGCAGCCACUCAUUCAAAGAGUGCGUAAUAGCUCACUGGUCGAGUGAUCCUGCGCCGAAGAUUUCCGGGGCUAAAACUUACUACCGAAGCUACGGCAUCAGUAAUGAUGGGUAGGGGAGCUUCCCAUACGGGUUGAAGCAUGACCGUAAGGACAUGUGGACAGUAUGGGAGUGAGAAUGUUGGCAUGAGUAGCGAGAUGUGGGUGAGAAUCCCACAGGCCGUAAACCCAAGGUUUCCAGGGGAAGGUUCGUCCGCCCUGGGUUAGUCGGGACCUAAGCUGAGGCCGAAAGGCGUAGGUGAUGGACAACAGGUUGAUAUUCCUGUACUACCGAUAACCGUUUGAGAGAAGGGAUGACACAGUAGGAUAAGCUAAGCACACUGUUGGUUAUGUGUGCCCAAGCAUUGAGGCAGUCAAAGUAGGCAAAUCCGCUUUGAUAAUGCUGGGAUGUGAUGGGGAGCGAAAUUUAGUAGCGAAGUAGCUGAUUUCACACUGUCAAGAAAAGUCUCUAUCGAGGUUAAAGGUACCCGUACCGCAAACCGACACAGGUGGGUGAGGAGAGUAUCCUAAGGCCAGCGAGAGAACUGUUGUUAAGGAACUCGGCAAAAUGACCCCGUAACUUAGGGAUAAGGGGUGCCACCAUCAGGUGGCCGCAGAGAAUAGGCCCAAGCGACUGUUUACCAAAAACAUAGGUUUCUGCUAAGUCGCAAGACGAUGUAUAGGAGCUGACGCCUGCCCGGUGCUGGAAGGUUAAGGGGAUCUGUUAGAGCAAUCGAAGCAGUGAACUUAAGCCCCAGUAAACGGCGGCCGUAACUAUAACGGUCCUAAGGUAGCGAAAUUCCUUGUCGGGUAAGUUCCGACCCGCACGAAAGGCGUAACGAUUUGGGGUAACGAUUUGGGCACUGUCUCAACAACAGACUCGGUGAAAUUGUAAUUCCGGUGAAGAUGCCGGAUACCUGCGACAGGACGGAAAGACCCCAUGGAGCUUUACUGUAGCUUGACAUUGGGUCUUGGUACUACAUGUACAGGAUAGGUGGGAGGCUUUGAAACCAGGACGCCAGUUUUGGCGGAGCCAUCCUUGGGAUACCACCCUUGUAGUACUGGGACUCUAACCAUAGGCCAUGAAUCUGGUCUUGGGACACUGUCAGGUGGGCAGUUUGACUGGGGCGGUCGCCUCCCAAAAGGUAACGGAGGCGCUCAAAGGUUCUCUCAGUACGGUCGGAAAUCGUACGUAGAGUGUAAAGGCAAAAGAGAGCUUGAUUGCAAGACAUACAGGUCGAGCAAGGAUGAAAAUCGGACUUAGUGAUCCGGUGGUUCUGCGUGGAAGGGCCAUCGCUCAACGGAUAAAAGCUACCCUGGGGAUAACAGGCUUAUCUCCCCCAAGAGUCCACAUCGACGGGGAGGUUUGGCACCUCGAUGUUGAGACAGUUCGGUCCCUAUCCGUCGCAGGCGUAGGAAAUUUGAGAAGACCUGUCCUUAGUACGAGAGGACCGGGAUGGACGUACCUCUGGUGUACCAGUUGUCCUGCCAAGGGCAUGGCUGGGUAGCUAUGUACGGAAUGGAUAAGCGCUGAAAGCAUCUAAGCGCGAAGCCAACUUCAAGAUAAGAUUUCCCACCGCAAGGGUAAGACCCCAGAAAGACUAUCUGGUUGAUAGGUCGAAGGUGUAAGUGCAGCAAUGUAUUUAGCUUAUCGAUACUAAUAGGUCGAGGACUUGACCAA
rnacentral:rRNA from 1 species